GACGAACGCUGGCGGCGUGCUUAACACAUGCAAGUCGAACGGAAAGGCCCUUCGGGGGACUCGAGUGGGGAACGGGAGAGUAACACGAGGGCGAUCUGCCCUGCCCCUUGGGAUAAGCAUGGGUACCUGGGACUAAUACUGAUAAGGACUACGAGCUCCAUGUGCAGUGGGGGAAUGGUUUUGCGGUGUGGGAUGGGCCCGCGGCCUAUCAGCUUGUUGGUGGGGUAAUGGCCUACCAAGGCGACGACGGGUAGCCGGCCUGAGAGGGUGACCGGCCACACUGGGACUGAGAUACGGCCCAGACUCCUACGGGAGGCAGCAGUGGGGAAUAUUGCACAAUGGGCGCAAGCCUGAUGCAGCGACGCCGCGUGAGGGAUGACGGCCUUCGGGUUGUAAACCUCUUUCAAUAGGGACGAAGCGCAAGUGACGGUACCUAUAGAAGAAGCACCGGCCAACUACGUG
rnacentral:rRNA from 1 species